AAAUUGACUCUAGUAGGGAGUCCGUAUGUACGCGCGACUCCCUAAUCGAGUCAGGUUG
rnacentral:precursor_RNA from 1 species